rnacentral:rRNA from 1 species
CCUACGGGGGGCUGCAGUGAGGAAUAUUGGUCAAUGGACGCGAGUCUGAACCAGCCAAGUCGCGUGCGGGAUGAAGGCUCUAUGAAUUGUAAACCGCUUUUAUACAGGGAUAAACCUUGAGACGUGUAUUAUUUUGUAAGUACUGUAUGAAUCAGGAUCGGCUAACUCCGUGCCAGCAGCCGCGGUAAUACGGAGGAUCCGAGCGUUAUCCGGAUUUAUUGGGUUUAAGGGGUGCGUAGGCGGAUUGUUAAGUCAGAGGUGAAAGUCUGUGGCUCAACCGUAGAAUUGCCGUUAAUACUGGGGGGCUGGAGAAUGUAUGAGGCAGGCGGAAUGCGUGGUGUAGCGGUGAAAUGCUUAGAUAUCACGCAGAACCCCGAUUGCGAAGGCAGCCUACCAAGCCAUGACUGACGCUGAGGCACGAAAGCGUGGGGAGCAAACAGGAUUAGAUACCCCGGUAGUC